GGAGCCGGACAGGCAAUCGCGGCCCUUCACGGGUCGAGGAAAGUCCGAACUCCACAGGGCAGUGUGCCUCGUAACGCGAGGGAGGGGCGACCCUACGGAAAGUGCCACAGAAAAUACACCGCCUCUUUGAGGUAAGGGUGAAAAGGUGCGGUAAGAGCGCACCGCGCGGCUGGUAACAGCGGCGGCAGGGUAAACCCCACACGGAGCAAGGUCAAAUAGAAAAGCUGUCCCGAAAGGGACUAAGGACGGCCCGUCCGAUGCUUUUGGGUAGACUGCUAGAUCCCGGGAGUGAUCCCGGGACCAGAUGAAUGAUUGCCAUCUUCACUUUGUGUGGAGAAACAGAAUUCGGCUUACGGACGACUCCGGCG
rnacentral:RNase_P_RNA from 1 species